rnacentral:rRNA from 1 species
UACGAGAGGCCCAAACGUUUAUUCGGAUUUACUGGGCUUAAAGAGUUCGUAGGCGGCGCGGAAAGUAGGGUGUGAAAGCCCUCGGCUCAACCGAGGAAUUGCGCUCUAAACUACCGUGCUCGAGGAAGCUAGAGGUGAGCGGAACUGAUGGUGGAGCGGUGAAAUGCGUUGAUAUCAUCAGGAACACCGGAGGCGAAGGCGGCUCACUGGGGCUUUUCUGACGCUGAGGAACGAAAGCCAGGGGAGCGAACGGG